AACAAACCAAUUUUUCACUUUUAUCUAUAAUGUUUGAUUUUUCGUCUUAUUCAAAAACAUUUUACGAUUAAUAUUUUUGUUUUUAUUAGAUGAUAAAUUAAGUGUGACUAAUUUUUUUUAAUUUUUUAAAAUAAUUUUAAAUAAGACGGAUGAUCAAACGCUGGACAUGAAACCGAAGAGUUG
rnacentral:pre_miRNA from 1 species